rnacentral:rRNA from 1 species
GUCCUAGCUGUAAACGAUGGGUACUAGGCAGCGGGGGCCCGAUGCUCUCGCUGUCGAAGCGAAUGUGCUAAGUACCCCGCCUGGGGAGUACGGCCGCAAGGCUGAAACUCAAAGGAAUUGACGGGGGCUCACACAAGCGGUGGAGCAUGUGGUUCAAUUCGAAGCAACGCGCAGAACCUUACCAGGGUUUGAAAUGCAUGGAUUAGUCUCCUGAAAGGGAGAUGACGCCUUUUGGUGGAACAUGCACAGGUGUUGCAUGGCUGUCGU